UCCGAUUCGUCAAAUCGUCGUUUGAAUCUUUGUUUACAAAACAGAUAAGUCGUUUUGAAAAUUUUGUCUUGAAUCCGUAUCGAAAACAUUACAUGAGCGUGAGUUCGACCGUUUUGGUGCCAUCAAAAAGAUCGAAUAUAACAAAGGGGACACCCAGGCCUACAUUCUGUACGAUUAUAUUGAUGCUGCUACGGCUGCUGUGAAGGAAAUGCGUAUGCACCGAUUCACGAGCAGCUACCGAAGGCCGCCAUCAAGCACUGUCGACGUUUACCCUGUCACCACCAUAGCGGCUCCGGUAAUGUAGUUGUUUCCUCGUCGAAUCGGGUUGCGAAAUGCUGGAACUGAUACUAACCGUCAAGUCGGAAAGCCCCAGGAAAACGAGAACGGAAUCUCAGGCCACUGGAAGGGAAGACCAGUCACCCCGCCAGCCAACGAUAGGUCCCUCCAUCAUGACAAUCCAACAAACUGAUUCUUCAUGCAUCCACCGAAGGCCGCAUAAACUGCCGUCAUCCGGUACUGGCUCGACUUUUCCCCUGUCACUAUUCCUAGCGGUUCCGUCGUCGGCUGGGUUGCUGAAUGUUUAUUCUGCUGCAGGUCAAUGAAAAAGGCAAACCUCCGCAACCAAAAAAACCCAGCAGG